rnacentral:rRNA from 1 species
UACGUAGGGUGCGAGCGUUAAUCGGAAUUACUGGGCGUAAAGCGUGCGCAGGCGGCGCGUUAAGACAGGUGUGAAAGCCCCGAGCUUAACUUGGGAAUUGCGCUUGUGACUGGCGAGCUGGAGUGUGGCAGAGGGAGGUGGGAUUCCACGUGUAGCAGUGAAAUGCGUAGAGAUGUGGAGGAACACCGAUGGCGAAGGCAGCCUCCUGGGCCAGCACUGACGCUCAUGCACGAAAGCGUGGGGAGCAAACAGG